CUCUCUGUAGCUUGCUUGGUCAGAGCGCUGCACCGGAAUCGCAUGCAGGGUCGCAGGUUCGAUUCCUGCUAGUGGGC